CUUGCUUUGAUGGAUGGCGACCGGCGCACGGGUGAGUAACACGUAUCCAACCUGCCGACAACACUGGGAUAGCCUUUCGAAAGAAAGAUUAAUACCGGAUGGCAUAGUUUUCCCGCAUGGGAUAAUUAUUAAAGAAUUUCGGUUGUCGAUGGGGAUGCGUUCCAUUAGGCAGUUGGCGGGGUAACGGCCCACCAAACCUACGAUGGAUAGGGGUUCUGAGAGGAAGGUCCCCCACAUUGGAACUGAGACACGGUCCAAACUCCUACGGGAGGCAGCAGUGAGGAAUAUUGGUCAAUGGACGAGAGUCUGAACCAGCCAAGUAGCGUGAAGGAUGACUGCCCUAUGGGUUGUAAACUUCUUUUAUACGGGAAUAAAGUUAGCCACGUGUGGCUUUUUGUAUGUACCGUAUGAAUAAGGAUCGGCUAACUCCGUGCCAGCAGCCGCGGUAAUACGGAGGAUCCGAGCGUUAUCCGGAUUUAUUGGGUUUAAAGGGAGCGUAGGCGGGUUGUUAAGUCAGUUGUGAAAGUUUGCGGCUCAACCGUAAAAUUGCAGUUGAUACUGGCGACCUUGAGUGCAACAGAGGUAGGCGGAAUUCGUGGUGUAGCGGUGAAAUGCUUAGAUAUCACGAAGAACUCCGAUUGCGAAGGCAGCUUA
rnacentral:rRNA from 1 species